AUAUUUACCUGGAAGGGGAAAUACCAUGAUUAUGCAGGUGAUUUCUCCAGAGCGAGGCUCAUCCAUUGCACUCCGUGUGUAUUGACCCCAAAUUCGAGGAAACUCGACUGCAUAAUUUGUGGAUGGAGGAACUACUCGCUG
rnacentral:snRNA from 1 species